rnacentral:rRNA from 1 species
AUUGAACGCUGGCGGCAGGCCUAACACAUGCAAGUCGAGCGAGCGGCGGACGGGUGAGUAAUGUAUGGGGAUCUGCAUGAUGGAGGGGGAUAACUACUGGAAACGGUAGCUAAUACCGCAUACAAUCAGAUGAACACAUAUGGGAUUAGCUGGUCGGUGGGGUAACGGCUAACCUAGGCGACGAGCCCUAGCUGGUCUGUGAGGAUGAUCAGCCACACUGGGACUGAGACACGGCCCAGACUCCUACGGGAGGCAGCAGUGGGGAAUAUUGCACAAUGGGCGCAAGCCUGAUGCAGCCAUGCCGCGUGUAUGAAGAAGGCCUUCGGGUUGUAAAGUACUUUCAGUCGGGAGGCGUUACCGACAGAAGAAGCACCGGCUAACUCCGUGCCAGCAGCCGCGGUAAUAC